rnacentral:rRNA from 1 species
UACGGGGGGGGCAAGCGUUGUUCGGAAUUACUGGGCGUAAAGGGCGCGUAGGCAGUUCGCUAAGUUGGAUGUGAAAACUCUGGGCUCAACCCAGAGCCUGCAUCCAAAACUGGCGGGCUAGAGUUCUGGAGGGGGUAGCGGAAUUCCUGGUGUAGCGGUGAAAUGCGUAGAUAUCAGGAGGAACACCGGUGGCGAAGGCGGCUACCUGGACAGAAACUGACGCUGAGGCGCGAAAGCUAGGGGAGCAAACAGG